rnacentral:rRNA from 1 species
GACGCAGGGGGCCAGCGUUGUUGGAAUUACUGGGUGUAAAGGGUUCGUAGGCGGUGUGGCAAGUCGGGAGUGAAAUUUCUGGGCUCAACUCAGAGACUGCUUCCGAAACUGCUGUGCUGGAGUGUGGGAGAGGCGCGUGGAAUUGCAGGUGUAGCGGUGAAAUGCGUAGAUAUCUGCAGGAACACCCGUGGCGAAAGCGGCGCGCUGGACCACUACUGACGCUGAGGAACGAAAGCUAGGGGAGCAAACAGG